rnacentral:tRNA from 1 species
UGGUGGGUAGCUCAGUGGAUAGAGCGCCUAAAUAUCCUUAUUCACCCCUUGCCUGAAAAGGCCGACGAAUCGAGGGUUAUCGCCUGCCAAGCGGGAGGUCGCGGGUUCGAUUCCCGCUCCACUAC